rnacentral:rRNA from 1 species
UACGUAGGGGGCAAGCGUUAUCCGGAUUUACUGGGUGUAAAGGGGGCGCAGACGGCGCGGCAAGUCCGGAGUGAAAUCCCAGGGCCCAACCCUGGGGCUGCUCUGGAAACUGCCGGGCUGGAGUGCUGGAGGGGCAGGCGGAAUUCCUAGUGUAGCGGUGAAAUGCGUAGAUAUUAGGAGGAACACCGGCGGCGAAGGCGGCCUGCUGGACCGUAACUGACGUUGAGGCUCGAAAGUGUGGGGAGCAAACAGG